rnacentral:rRNA from 1 species
UACGGGGUGCAGCAGGCGCGAAACCUCCGCAAUGUGAGAAAUCGCGACGGGGGGAUUCCAAGUGCCAUUCUUAACGGGAUGGCUUUCAUUAGUGUAAAGAGCUUU